rnacentral:rRNA from 1 species
UCUAUAUAUCUCCCUGAUGUUCUUGCCUGGUUUCCCACUGAAGCUUAGCAGGGUUGAGCCUGGCCAGUACCUGGAUGGGAGACCUCCUGGGGGAAAACUAAGGUUGCUGCUGGAA